CAAUCGUGCAUGGACCGGCUAACAAACUUAUGCAUAUCAAGAUUAUGUCUAACCGAGGUCCAGGGGCGGCUGCGGCCAAUUCGGCGAGGCGGCGGCUGUCCGGUGGCCGUACGUCCUCCUGCCUGGGCUCGAACUCCGGCCGUGCGACCCCACCCGCAUCAACAAGCAUCCCAACGCCGUCCGCGUCGCCUCCGAGGAUGUCCCGGUCAGAGUUGAAACAGACCCACAAGACAGAACUCAGCUCUGGAUAGGUCUUCGGGAGCUGAGUUAUUUUACACCAGUUUACCCCCUUUUAGCAGCCGCCACUAUUUUUUCCUGGAGGAGAAACUGAUUCUUAGACUACAAAACAACAGAACAGCAGGGAUGAUAUUCAGGUUGACAUAUCAGAAAAGAGCCCAAGAAUACUACAAAUGGGUUCGACAUGGGUUGAACAUAGGGGUUCUUGGCCUGAGCAUGCAAGUGUAUGGCGGGUCAAUCGAUACGUGAUUAAUAUGUUGGGAAAAGCAGUAAUGGUCGAGCAAACCGAAAAGGAGAGGCUGAAUCUUCUCCUGCAAAGUUACUGGUCAGCAUACUAUGUCGAAUGCGACAUUGCUGUAAGUACAAACAUAAAUAUGUGCAGAGAAUACCUUUUUUUUC